UAUUGCUUUAUACACAGUUUGAUUUUAUAUCCUAUUUGUUCUCCUUCUAUUUUGUGUUGAAACCAUCAGUAAUUGCCUGGGAGUAUUUGAAAAGUGUAGUGGUACCAGCUCAAAAUGUUGCCCGAUAUACACAUGCAAAUACAUCAUAAAGGAUUUCUCCAUGUGUAAUUAAUAAAAGUGGCCGACAAAUUCGGUUGCAAAAUGUUUAUUUUUGGCAUCAAGCAAGAGCGCAAGCAACUUCAGUGUGUUGCAGUUUCAUUUAUUUCUGGCAUGAUUUAAUAAAAGAAAAAAAAACGUUUUGAC